rnacentral:rRNA from 1 species
UACAGAGGUGGCAAGCGUUGUUCGGAAUUACUGGGCGUAAAGGGCGCGUAGGCGGUUCGUUAAGUCCUGUGUGAAAUCCCCCGGCUCAACUGGGGAACGGCACAGGAAACUAGCGGGCUUGAGUUCGGGAGAGGGAAGCGGAAUUCCGGGUGUAGCGGUGAAAUGCGUAGAUAUCCGGAGGAACACCGGUGGCGAAGGCGGCUUCCUGGACCGACACUGACGCUGAGGCGCGAAAGCUAGGGGAGCAAACGGG